rnacentral:rRNA from 1 species
GGAGUUAGCCGGUGCUUCUUCUGUGAGUGAUGUCCUUCCUGCCGGCUAUUAACCCGCAGGCCUUCUUCCUCACUGAAAGUGCUUUACAACCCGAAGGCCUUCUUCACACACGCGGCAUGGCUGGAUCAGGGUUGCCCCCAUUGUCCAAUAUUCCCCACUGCUGCCUCCCGUAGGAGUCUGGGCCGUGUCUCAGUCCCAGUGUGGCUGAUCAUCCUCUCAGACCAGCUACGGAUCGUCGCCUUGGUGAGCCGUUACCUCACCAACCAGCUAAUCCGACAUAGGCUCAUCCGAUAGCGCGAGGCCCGAAGGUCCCCCGCUUUCCCCCGUAGGGCGUAUGCGGUAUUAGCCUGGGUUUCCCCAGGUUUAUCCCCCGACUACCGGGCAGGAUUCCUAUGCAUUACUCACCCGUCCGCCGCUCGCCACCAGGGAGCAAGCUCCCCGUGCUGCCGCUCGACUUGCAUGUGUUAGGCCUGCCGCCAGCGUUCAAUCUGAGCCAGGAUCAAACUCUGA